rnacentral:rRNA from 1 species
AUGAGCCGCCCUCGCAUGGGGUGGUGGAAAGUUUUCGGUCAGGGAUGGGCUCGCGGCCUAUCAGCUUGUUGGUGGGGUGAUGGCCUACCAAGGCGACGACGGGUAGCCGGCCUGAGAGGGCGACCGGCCACACUGGGACUGAGACACGGCCCAGACUCCUACGGGAGGCAGCAGUGGGGAAUAUUGCACAAUGGGCGAAAGCCUGAUGCAGCGACGCCGCGUGAGGGAUGAAGGCCUUCGGGUUGUAAACCUCUUUCAGCAGGGAAGAAGCGCAAGUGACGGUACCUGCAGAAGAAGCGCCGGCUAACUACGUGCCAGCAGCCGCGGUAAUACGUAGGGCGCAAGCGUUGUCCGGAAUUAUUGGGCGUAAAGAGCUCGUAGGCGGUUUGUCGCGUCUGGUGUGAAAACUCGAGGCUCAACCUCGAGCUUGCAUCGGGUACGGGCAGACUAGAGUGCGGUAGGGGAGACUGGAAUUCCUGGUGUAGCGGUGGAAUGCGCAGAUAUCAGGAGGAACACCGAUGGCGAAGGCAGGUCUCUGGGCCGCAACUGACGCUGAGGAGCGAAAGCAUGGGGAGCGAACAGGAUUAGAUACCCUGGUAGUCCAUGCCGUAAACGUUGGGCACUAGGUGUGGGGCUCAUUCCACGAGUUCCGUGCCGCAGCAAACGCAUUAAGUGCCCCGCCUGGGGAGUACGGCCGCAAGGCUAAAACUCAAAGGAAUUGACGGGGGCCCGCACAAGCGGCGGAGCAUGCGGAUUAAUUCGAUGCAACGCGAAGAACCUUACCAAGGCUUGACAUGCACGAGAAGCCACCAGAGAUGGUGGUCUCUUUGGACACUCGUGCACAGGUGGUGCAUGGUUGUCGUCAGCUCGUGUCGUGAGAUGUUGGGUUAAGUCCCGCAACGAGCGCAACCCUCGUCCCAUGUUGCCAGCGGGUUAUGCCGGGGACUCAUGGGAGACUGCCGGGGUCAACUCGGAGGAAGGUGGGGAUGACGUCAAAUCAUCAUGCCCCUUAUGUCUUGGGCUUCACGCAUGCUACAAUGGCCGGUACAAAGGGCUGCGAUACCGUAAGGUGGAGCGAAUCCCAAAAAGCCGGUCUCAGUUCGGAUUGGGGUCUGCAACUCGACCCCAUGAAGUCGGAGUCGCUAGUAAUCGCAGAUCAGCAACGCUGCGGUGAAUACGUUCCCGGGCUUGUACACACCGCCCGUCAGUCACGAAAGUCGGUACACCCGAGCCAUGGCCACGUUCGCGGGGGAGUGUCGAGUGG